UGGGAGAAUACAAGAGGAGGAUGCAAAGAAGGCUUUGGAUUGGGAAGAAGGGCAUCAAUGAGAUGCGGCUAUAGUCCAAGGAAUAGUCAGAAAAGGGAAAAGUCAAAUUUCUGUUGUGGUUUGCUGUGGUGAGAAGAGCAUGGUACCUACCGGAAGUCCAGAAGUGAAGCUAUGUGAAUUUGGGGAUUCCCAGGACUAUCUUCAUUUACAUGAAUGUACAUUAGCUCUGGCAUGGAUCGCCUGCAGAAGUGAGUGCAUUCAAGACAUCUCAUUAAGCACUAAAUUUAGUCCCUGAAGACUGAAAGAGGAGAAGAACAACCAGCUGCAGAAAGUCUUGGGCUCUGUGACUGGUGAGUUGUAGAAGACAGAAGGAGGUUUGUACGCUUUACU